ensembl:lncRNA
AUGUUGUUUCGGGGCACUGGGCUUCUCUGGUUUUUGUUUUAUGGCUGUAUCUCUCCCAUGCUGGGACUUGCUACAGCCUCUUGUGUUCUGCCCUGCAGACAUGACACCUCCACCUUAGGAAGGGAAGGCACUCUGCACAGUUAUUCCUCCAAGAGGAGAAUGUCAUGGGGUGGGGUAGGAAUGUGUAUGGAAGCUGGGAUAACGCAGAUGAGGCUAAUGUACCCCAAAAGUGCUGAUACAGUUUUCAUUCCUGAUGUUCCUCCACCAUCAUGUCCACAAGCCGGGUGGAGACAUGGGACUGCUUUUCCUGUCUGCCUUYCACCUGGCUCAGUUGCACAAGUGACCCCACGAUUUCUGUCCCAUGAGGUUGUGCUGUGUUUGCAGGGCCUCACUGCAGCCCAAGGCCACUUCCCACCUGCAAAGGGGCAGCCCAGGAGCUGCCCUUCUUGCACGUAGGGUUUGAACUCGCUCCGAGGAUGGGGUAGGAAGGUCAUGGGUUUCACGUCUCCAUAGCUUUUGUCAUUCCUCCAACAAGGUCUCUAAAGAGCCUACCCUCAUGCACAGGCACCCACAGGUGGGUCUCCAAGUCCAUCCUCCGACACGCCACUGCRAGUGUCCCUCAGCUGAAGAGCUUUCCUCCUUUUUUCCAGGUUGGGCUGUUGAAUACUUGGAUUUUUUUGAUAUGGACUUGGGCCCCUACCUCUGAGGUGCCAACUUGGGAAUGUUUCAGCCCAGAAACACUUAGAGAAACAUAAAUACCUGGGCAUUUUUUUUCCAACUGGGUUUCAAAUUAGAAAUCCUGAUGAGCUCCGUUUCUUCACAAAAGUCUCAGGACAGCGGGAGAAGUAGGAGACUGACAGCACUGUAGACACAUAGUGCCAGAGUGAGGCCUGAGCAAUCGGGGGCUUCAUGUAUGGGCUGGUUGUCAGGUCUUUGUACUUGUAUGUUAAUCCCUAUUUUGCCUCAGAUGCCAAGACAUGUUGAAAGGAGAGAUCACCGCCUUAAAAAUCUGACAUAUUUGCCGAUUCAGUAAUUACUCGAAUUCUCUCUCUUGACUCUUCCAGGAAAACCAGGGAACUGACACCCCCGUGGCUUUGACUACAAACAAGCCACCCUUUCCUGCCCUGUUCAGAAGAAGUAAAGGCACAAACUGGGUUGCCUCGCUCCUCAUCCAUACCCACCUCCCUCACCCCCUCCACGAAAACCCUGUAUUUUUCACAAAUUUGCAGUGACGGGGCUCCAAAUUGUAGCAAGCCCUUUGGAAAUCCAAGGGAUGGCAAGGCGGAGAUGCACUAUCCAGCCAACCAAGAGGUUUGUAGGGUUUGCCCAGGGAGCAAAUCAUGGCUGAACCUUGUGCAAGGGAUCAGUGUGACCAGGAAUUCAUAGAUGUGUCUUUCCACCUGUAUCAUUUUGGUUACGAUGUUUGUGUUUCCCCUCCAUUCUCCAUCUUUUCCAGUUGGACACAGCGCAUGGUGGGAGCAGCAAUUGGAAGGAGGACAAUAUGUCCAUUGCAAAUGGCCAGCUCUUUAUUCAACAAAGAUUUGGCUACACAUAUUUAAAGACUUCGCAUUUGUAAAUUUAUAUUAUGGGUCUUGCAAUAAGGCUGACACUGUGGUGCUUGGGCUGAGAGCUUUGGAUGAGGCUUAUGGAUAACAGAUUUUCUGAGGAUGCAAAGAGUCUUGCUCUAUCUAUAAUAGAACGAGUCGCUUUAUUUUAUAUUUUUUUUUUCUUGGGUUUGUUUCUUAUUAGUCCCAGUGGGGAAGCACACGGGGAGAUUCGUGACUUAUAUGCAGUUUCCAAGUUCUUAUAUCUCAUUCACKUCCAACAGGCUGGGUAGGUGCAGUGCAGCGGGUGGAUUUUGAUGGGAUCCUGUCUGGUGGGAGGAAAACGUGCCUGGUUUCCUUGCGCAGCGUGGGGUCCUGGGAUGGUUGCAAUCACACUCGCAGGCUCCAGCAGACAUUCCAGGGGAGGGGGCGUUUUUGACACGUUCUGCUUUCCUUCAGGCAAUGAUCUCCCAAAAAACUCUUGACUUCCCUGCUGUUUCUUUCUGUGCAACAAAGAACUGCAUAUUUUCCUUUCUAACUCCACGGGCAAUCAUAGUAGUAUGUAGAUUAAGCCCAGAUGACAUUUUUCUUUUUUUUUUUUUUUUUUUUUGGUCUGAGCCAUAGCUAAAUUAUUAUACCCAAUGCUUUUUGUAUCAGACAGCAUCACUUUGAAUAUGCAGAUGAGGUAUAGGAUCUUGACACUUUAUAACCUUUUUAAAAAGAGAAUUUUCUGUUUACUUAUGUCUUGUGUAAAAAGGAAAAAAAAUGUAUGCCUUUUAGUAAUCACUUUUUUUUUUUUUUUUGAGUUUUCUGAAAUUACGGUGGUUUCACUCCAGCAGCGGCGAAAUAAAAAWGCGUUCACUGUUUUGUACA